GCUGUGGUGCGGUUGGUAGGCCUCAGACGCUUCGUGUCCUGGUGGUUUCAGUACUGGGCUAAUAGCCCAGCUUCAAAAGGCCGCCGGACAUAGUGCGGCUCAGACGGAAAAAGUCCCGGAGCCAUGAACCCGCUGCCUUCCGGUCUCUUGAGCUGCGGGAGCCACGCCUCGCCGCCCUGGCUGCUCCUUGGACAACGGCCCACAGGAACCCCUUCGCCCGCCUGGAUAACCGGCUGCUGGUCGCCGCGGAGGCCCGGGACGGGCUGCUCCGCGGCCAACAGGAGGUGCGGUGCUCGUUAGAUGAUCUUAAGGAACAACUGGAAUAUUCAUCUUCACAGUGUGUAUGUCUAGAUAUGGAAAAUCAAUUCCUGAGGCAGGAGGUUCUAUCUGUGCAAGAAAUGAAAAUGACAUGUGAAAAACUGGAGGAGGAGAAAAAACAAUUGGAAGAAAAAAUAUUAACCUUUCAACAAUCUAGAGAGAGUGAUUUGGUGGAAAUUCAUCUUAUAGAACAAUAUGAAGCGAUAAGUGAAUAGAGGGGAAGAAAGAAAACAUUGGAGGAAAUGGUGCAAUUUUUACAGGCACAGAAAUAUUUACAUCAAUCAAGAGAGCAUUAUGAUGCUUCAGUGAGAAGUCAGAUGAAGCUGAGAAUUCAAGAUAUGAAGUCCAAACUUUAUGAAAUGAACACUGAAGCUUACUUUCAUAAAAUGGAGAUGGAAAAGUAUAAGAAACUCUUUAGAAGAAAUGGACAUUAUAUUAUCAUUUUCAGAUGAACUUAACUUGACAAAGGAGAGGCUAGCGGACUUUAGUAAUGAACUUGUAAGAAGUCUUAAUGUUCUGGAAACAUCAGUGAUCAAAUAACAGCCAUGUUCAAAUAACAGCAUGUAGAAAGCAUUGCAAGAUGAAUUGCAUCCUCUAUUUUUCUUCAGGUCUCAGACAUCAAAGAUUGAGCUGAGGCUGAUCCAAGAUGGUGGACUAAAGGGUGACUGCAUCUCCCAUCACUCCAGAACUCAGGAUUCAAGAAGGGGAGGUAUUGAGAGACUCGGACCAACAUACAGCCGCGGAAUUUUCAGUGGUAGAAGCCACUACUCAACUGGUGUCCCAGAAACAGGAUGCUCCCCGCAGACAUGAGUGCACAACCACAUAUUAUCAUGGGCAGUUAUAUCUUUCAAAGAGAGAUGGAGAGGCAAGCCAGUGCAUUCAAUGUGAUCCAUCCAGCCACUAGGAGAUGGCAAAGAAACCCAUCUUUCAGGAUGAAAUUGAAGUUUGGUCUUCUGUUGAUAUGAUUAUUUUGUAAAAGACUUUCUAAUGUACAAGACACAGCUGUGUCCAACUGUAUAUAGUUGGCAAUUAUUUUGUUUUUACUUUCUUGUUAUCUGUGUUAUGUACUUGUGUUUAUACAAAUUUUAUUUGUAUGAUUUCACUGUAAACCUCAAAUAUAUGCUUCCUUAUGUGAAAAAAGAGGUACUGUGAUUUUCAUACCUUUCUAAAUUAAAAACAAAUAGAACAGUGCUUUCAAUGUUUUGAUGGCAUGAGAUUAUGUUACAUAAACCUGAAGUAGAGCUAUCUGAAUAAAAAAGGUGUGGCAGCUCUGAAUCCAUGAGUCCUUAUCCCUUCAGUUUGCAUCACUCUGUGGGGAAGCUUAGAUUUCUGUGGACAUUCUUAAAUUCAACCACUUGUGACAGAAUUCUUCUAAAAGGAUAACAAUCAUAGUAUGUUCUAUUGUCUAUUUUUCUUACCUCACAUUUUUAAAAGUAGAAAAGUACAAAUGAAGUUACUUAUGUGAUCUAUCUGUUGAGGUUUUGUGCUGGGCUUCCUCCAUCCUCUUAAACUUACUGUCUAUAUAGAGUGAAAGGGCACAAUUUGAUUUUCCACUUAAGGAACUGAUUUUGCAGUAGUAUUGAACAUAAAAUGAAGUUCAUCAGUUUGCUAAACAUUCUUAUUCCUCCAAACAACAUUGAGUUUCCCUUAAGCUUAUGUGUUUUUCACCACUCAUACUUCGGUGACAUCUUUAUCCAACAGAAUAGGACAGUGAUGAAUGUUGCCAAGACAUUUUUCUCAUUUUUUCCCCCCACAUAACCUGUUCCAGGAACUGUAUUAAACCAUUCCAUUGGGAACACUUCUGAAUUUUUAUUAAAGAAAUAGUUCAACUUAAUGGGAUAGCAAGAAUUGGAUGAAAGGAACUUUAAAAUAUUCUUUUCAUGUUCUUAAAUUGCCCUGGUGAUACAAACCAGUCUACCCUGCCACCAGGCAGGAGAAAACUAAGACUUCAGUGCCCAACACACUUAGGUAUGCUCUUGGGUGUCCCUUUGCAGAGCAGCCCCUCCCUUAGCUUGUCCCUGCUCUCUGUGAGCUUUCAUUUCUUGCUGUCUCUUUCCAGAAAGGAGUUGCCCUCAGCUGUCAUGUAUCCCAUGUCCUGUGAAAGCAUGGAAGAGACAGUAUGCUCUUUCAGAGUCAGGAGAAACAAUUUCAUUUUGUUUUCCUCUGAGAAAUUUCUAUCCAGGGAGCUAAGAUUUCUUCCUCCAGGGUUGAGAGCAUGUAUAACUCAGUUUGCAUUUGUAGAUCAAUUAGAAUUGUUGAUUGAAUCAAAAUUAUCUUAGUAGCUUUCCAUAUUAUAUGUCUAUUCUAUUAUCUAAAUUUAAAAAACUGGAAGUUUAAUUUUAUUCAUGUGAUUUUUUUCAAAGCAAUCCUCAAACUAGAUCUAGGCUCCGAAACACUUUUAAGACCACAUCUUAAAAAUGACAUUCUCACAAUUAUGCCUCCCUUUUAAAUUUGCAUUACAAAUACUGUUUUUAUUUCUUCAGAUGUGACAGGGGUUGCGAUGUGGUAUAGUCACAGAACUCAAGGUAUUUUGUACACAUAAUGGAGCAAAUUUAGAUUAAUGUAUUAAUUUCUGAAAUAAUCUAUGAAUAGCAAAUAUCCCUUUUUUGGUUAAUAUAUUUUAUGUUAAAUAUGUUUUGCUUAUUUGUUUUGUUAAGUUUGUUUAGCUCAUUUAAUCAAAUUAGAAGCAUGACAACAUAAACAUUAUUAAUGAAAUAAACAUCCUUAUUUAUUUAUGCUCUCUAACAUGUAAAAUCUCAAUUGUUUUAAAAUUCUGAGUCGAUGCUCUCAUUACUUCUGCUAUUGUUGUAUGUCAUCCCCCUGCAUAUGGUGUUAGAAAACAAAGGCAUCAUCCAAUUCUCAGUUUUAUGGCACCAAAAUGCAGACUCCUGAAGAAGAGUCAAGCAUAUUUACUUCAUCAGUUGUCCCUUGACCUGUGCCAGUGUAAGGAGCAAAUUAAAUGUGUGACAUUUUGUGUGCUGUGUGUUCUGUGAAACAUAACUUGUGAAAAAAGAACUUCAGUAAUGUGUGCUGUGAUGAUGUAAUGAUGUAAUGUUACCCCAAGAUAAGAAGAUAAGACUGACAUUGCCCCAAGUAAGAUAAUCAUAUGUGACUGACCCCUGCCAAGACUGGCUGGCAGAGUUUGAUAAGAAGGAUUUAUAAGGACUCAUGACUGAGCCUUGCUCAGUCUCCAGCUGACAUCGAUAAUGCCAGUUCUGCACCAAACCUGGAGGAGACUCACUGACUUGCUGGUGUUGGCCAGCUGGAACAUCUGUCAUCCUGAUUGUGACUGAGACAUUCCUGUGGAGGUGACUUUGGAGCUGCCUCACCCUCGUCUUCCAAGACAGCGGAGCUGCCCCGCGUGCAUCCCGCCUAAGAGGUCUCUGCCCAGCCUACCGGCUGUAACCUCACUGUCCUCCUUCACCUUCAAACCGUCCUCGCCGAUCAGGACUCCAGGCAGAGGGAGCUCCUCAGCGAGAUCUCCUGAGCUGUGUUCUUGACUGAUCUCCGGGAGUCGCUGCCCUUCCGACUUAAGACACGUGGCAUAGGAGUGGACCUCAGGAAAGGGUCUUAGUAAGGAGUAAGUCUUGCUUACUUGGGUCUUAUAGUAUUCUAAGUUAGUGAUUAAGUAAUGUGUGAUAUUGGUGUGAUUAGAGUUAAGAUAAUUAUAAUACUUGUGUGUUUAGCAUCCAAUAAAAGCCAAUUGAU